rnacentral:rRNA from 1 species
ACUAAUUACUUAUAAAUAAUAAUAAUCUAGAUCCUAUAAUUUAUUACAUGCACAGAGAUUUUAUUCGCAGUAUAUAAAUUUACUUAAUAAAAAUUGAAGUAUAAAAUUAGAUUUUCUGAAGAAAAAAGUGCCAGCAUUCGCGGUUAUACUUUUAGGAAUUAAGAAUUAUGAAUGCUAAUAAUUAGCUUAUAUUUAGGUCAAAUUUUAUAAUUAAACUAAUAAAAAUAUAUUAAAAAUAUAUUAGUAAAUUGGAUUAGUCCCCAAGUAAUAAAAGUGUUUUUUAGUAGUAUUUUAAAACUAAAAUUUAAUGGCAGAAUUAACUCUCCUAUUAGGGAAACCUGUAAUAUUGAUUUUACUCAUUAAAUUAUUAUUUUAUUUAAGUAUGGCUGUCUAUUAUUAUUAAAAAAUUAUUAUAGUCAAGUAAUAUUUAAUAUAAUAUUAAAUUUAUAGGUUGCAUUUAUUAAAAAAAAAAAUAGUAUUUAAUAGUAAGUUAAAUUACACUGAAUAUUUAGUAAUUAGUUCAAAUUGUCCGUCACUCUCUAAGGAGAUAAGCCGUAGCAAAGUAAUGGUUAUGGAAAUAGUCAUUAA